CAGACGAACAAUAAGGUUAAAAGAUGAGAAAGAUAAGUUUACUCUGGAAGAGUUGUUUUGAUAAUCUUACUAUAAUAAAGAAAAGGUGGAGUUUCAACGGACCGACAGGAAAUGACCAGCUUACUCCUCCGUGGUGUUCUUAUGCCGCUCACAUUUUCAAUGGAACGAGGAAUGAAUACGUAUCUGGUGUUCAUCUUCAUAUCUCUUUUCUUGACUUUCUCCCUUCCCAAAUCGAGUGAAAGAUAAAGAUCGAAAUCUAACUACAGCACAGUCCCAAAUUUUGAUUUUCAUGGUCACACUAAACCCAUCGGAUUUCGAUCUAUUCAACUCUGGAUUACUAUUCAGCCAUAUAAUGAUCUUUACAAUUGGUGAUGUUUAUCAUGCAAAUUGACCAAAGACGGGGGAAGAGAAGAGAAGCGAAGGGUUAUGUACUGGUUUGUCCGCUUGAGUUGAGAUUGUUGAGUUCAGUUUCAAUUGUGUUUUUUGAAUGGGUUUUCCUGGUAUUCAAUAUUCCCUUCGUAAUAGUUAAUGUGGGAACUCAGUUGAAUGCGGAUAUGUGUUAAGAAUCUAAUAUUAGAUUGCCAUCCACGUAUUUGUGGAAAUGCCUAGCAUAAAAUGUAGUGAUGUCUGAUAAGUUAGGUGCAGAAAUUGGCAACUCUAGGUACAAGUUCUUGUACUGUAUUUUCUUCUAGGAAAUUCACGACUUCUACAUAGCUCUCUAAUUUUGGAUAAUAUAUCUGAUAUAGCUUCGAUUGUAGAGAGUCAAAAUUAGUGCCUAAGUUUUCACAACUUGGAAUUCAGGGAUUACAUAGAGGUCUUAUACCAGCUAUACUCGGUUAAUUUCAAGGUUAAAGCUUUUUAGGCACUUUGUAAUACAAUAUAUGGGUAGUAGACUUGCAUCGUACAUCUGUGUGUUUAGGGUAUUGGCUUUAUUCCUUGGGAUGGUUUCUAUAACUGUUUUUUCUUUCGUUCUUUAUCUUUUUUGAAUGCUUACGGAUUUUCUUCUUUAUCUGCUAAUUCUUCCGAAUUUUGCAACACUGUAUUCUUAUAUUCAUCCUAUAAGAAAGAUGAGUAGGGCCAACUACAUUGAGCACAGUUUGGUACUUUGAUUCUCCGCUCUCAAUUUUGGUUAACUAUACGAUUAAACUUCAUGUAUUGGUCUAAAUUUAUUUAGUUGUUCAAUUAUUUCAGUAUCUUUAUUAACUAAAUUUUGUUUAUUAACUAAAUUCUUAAGAUUUGAUUGUAGAUUUGUGUCCUUUCGUAUUUGAUCGUGGAUUGUUAACUGUUUGAUAUUUCAGAUCCCUGCACAGGUCCCUUGAGAGGAAAGGACAAAGAAACAUUUUUCUUUGGUUUGUGACUCCCUCAACGACAGAGGUACAAAGGACUGUCCAUGGGUAUCCAUAACGGAGGACAUACAGUUCGAGCUACUAGCUUCUUUGAAAGUGCAUUAGAUUUUUGAGUUGCAGGACCAACAUUCAUAGUCAGAAGUCUCUUUCAUUAGAACUGUUCACUCAAUAUAAGUUGUAGGUCGGAUGCUAAAACUACUUUAGCUCACAUCAGAAAAUUAUUCAGUACAGACCUUUUUUCUGGUUCAUUUAUGGAAACCCAUUUCUGGUGGAGUUGUUCCUACGAUUGAAGACGUAGAUGACUUCUACCAACUGAAAGAAUACUACCAUUGGCGUGUGAAUGUUCUGAAAAAUGAGAUCUGAAAUCAUCUAUAUGUCAUCAAAAUUUCAAAUA